AUACGGAGGGUGCGAGCGUUAAUCGGAAUUACUGGGCGUAAAGCGCGCGUAGGCGGUCAAAUAAGUCUGAUGUGAAAGCCCUGGGCUUAACCUGGGAAUGGCAUUGGAUACUGUUUGACUAGAGUGCAGGAGAGGAGAGUGGAAUUCCCGGUGUAGCGGUGAAAUGCGUAGAUAUCGGGAAGAACACCAGUGGCGAAGGCGGCUUUCUGGACAGUACCUGACGCUAAGCAACGAAAGCCAGGGGAGCGAACGGGAUUAGAUACCCCAGUAGUCC
rnacentral:rRNA from 1 species